AGAUGUCCUAAUACCCGAACUAGAUCCAAAGCUUUAUUUGCCAUUCCAUUCUAGCACGCUCAACGUAUAACUCUAAAUAUUCCAAUGUUGAUGUGUUCAACAUGAAGCUGGGUAAAUUUGUCACCUCAAUGAAAAAUAAA